GAAAGAGGUGUCAGGGCAGAGUAGUCUUUAGAGGAGAAUAAAGGGGAAAUGGAUAACAGAAAAAAGAAGAAGGAGAAGAAGCUGGGAUUGCUUGAAUCUUCCAGCCUUCAAUCCCUGCCUGCCUCAGAAUCCAAAGGGGCUGAAAAUUACAACGGGGGACAAAAUCCACAGGGGGCAACAUCGGUGUUGAAGGGGGGAUGCUGUCUUUGAUGGUAUUUUCCAUAUAUAUAUAUAUAUAAGGCGUUCUCUUAUUGGGUCCCACUUAGGGCUUACCCACUCAUUCCAAUAGGGUCCCAACCCCCAGCUGGAAAGGUUGACAUGGAUCCACAAGCAAGUGGAUGUUUGGUGGCCGGAGAGCAAAGCUACAAUGACUUGGAAGUGUGUGGAGAAGCAUGCACUCUCUUUCUGCUGUGGACACAUGGGCUCCUCUUUCAGUGGCAUGGACUGCACAUAUCCAUCAUAUCUAAACCAUUGAGAACAAGGAACAGAUGCAGAUACAGAAAGAUUGCAGCCCAGAUGAAGUCAUCAUUCAUGGUUGAAACGCUUGUUCAAGUCGUCAGUGUUGUGUAUGACUGCAGCUAAGGAACUGUAUAUCGCUGCUGACAACUUUCUGAGGGAAAAGUACCUGCAUUGAAUAUCAACGCAAGAGGAAAUUAGUGACAGAGAGACACGGUUAGAUGAAUUUAUGAAGCCCCACGUAGCCGCCUGAACCCACGGUUGAAAUCAUGGCCUCUUCUUUUCGCAGCCCAGAAUGUAUAAUCUUCUAAAUACAUUCUUCUUCAAGCUGGCUGGGAGAAAAAGGUGUCCUUCAAUUACUUGAGAGACAGUGAAGGAAAAUAUUGGAUUUCUAUUGACAAGAUCAGUGGAGACCUAGAUAGGGGAUGUGACAAAAACUGGAAUGCAGGUGGUUAAGUUUGUUACUACCAAAUUGGACUUCGAUUUGACUUUUGUUUAUGAUCCAAAAAGGAUAACAUUUAAUAACACAAGAUGUCAAAGAAUUCACAAGAUGAACACUCAUAUAAACAAAUUGAAAUUUGGGACGACGGGACCACGUAAAUCUCACGAUCACCACCACAGAAACGCAGGCAACAGAAAUCAUUGCCACUCAACUCUUUUCUCUUCACUCUAUCUCCAUUUCUCUACAACUCUAUGAUAGUUACACAAAAAAUG